UACUUGAAAAAAAAAAGGCUUAAAUGGGUCUAUCAAACCAGAAGCUCUUAUGGGCAUGACUAAAGAUUGAUGUUCUCCACAGGAUGUCAGGCACUUAAUAGUGCUAAUGUUUUCCUUAGGAGAGAUGAGA
rnacentral:snoRNA from 1 species